rnacentral:lncRNA from 1 species
UACUGCUGCUGCUUGGCCCUGGCUGGAGACAUCUCACUACACCCAGGAGCAGCCACUUCCCCAGCUCUCCUCCUCCUCCUUCGCCUCCUCCUCCUCCACUCCCCCCCUUUAUUACCCUUUGUGUCAUCCUCCACAGCUCCAGGGAAGGCACUCAAAAGUGGGGGGCAGGAAAGAUGGAGUCUCACUCUUGUCACCAGGCUAGAAUGC